AGUGAACGCUGGCGGUAGGCCUAACACAUGCAAGUCGAACGGCAGCACAGAGUAGCUUGCUCCUUGGGUGGCGAGUGGCGGACGGGUGAGGAAUACAUCGGAAUCUACUCUGUCGUGGGGGAUAACGUAGGGAAACUUACGCUAAUACCGCAUACGACCUACGGGUGAAAGCAGGGGAUCUUCGGACCUUGCGCGAUUGAAUGAGCCGAUGUCGGAUUAGCUAGUUGGCGGGGUAAAGGCCCACCAAGGCGACGAUCCGUAGCUGGUCUGAGAGGAUGAUCAGCCAGGCUGGAACUGAGACACGGUCCAGACUCCUACGGGAGGCAGCAGUGGGGAAUAUUGGACGAUGGGGGCAAGCCUGAUCCAGCCAUACCGCGUGGGUGAAGAAGGCCUUCGGGUUGUAAAGCCCUUUUGUUGGGAAAGAAAUCCAUCUGGUUAAUACCCGGGUGGGAUGACGGUACCCAAAGAAUAAGCACCGGCUAACUUCGUGCCAGCCGCCGCCGUAA
rnacentral:rRNA from 1 species